rnacentral:rRNA from 1 species
GACGAACGCUGGCGGCGUGCUUAACACAUGCAAGUCGAACGGAAAGGCCCUGCUUUUGUGGGGUGCUCGAGUGGCGAACGGGUGAGUAACACGUGAGUAACCUGCCCUUGACUUUGGGAUAACUUCAGGAAACUGGGGCUAAUACCGGAUAGGAGCUCCUGCUGCAUGGUGGGGGUUGGACAGUUUCGGCGGUUGGGGAUGGACUCGCGGCUUAUCAGCUUGUUGGUGGGGUAGUGGCUUACCAGGGCUUUGACGGGUGGCCGGCCUGAGAGGGUGACCGGCCACAAUGGGACUGCGAUACGGCCCAGACUCCUGCGGGAGGCAGCAGUGGGGAAUAGUGUACAAUGGGCGGAAGCCUGAUGCAGCAGCGCCGCGUGCGGGAUGACGGCCUUCGGGUUGUAAACCGCUUUCGCCUGUGACGAAGCGUGAGUGACGGUAAUGGGUAAAGAAGCACCGGCUAACUACGUG